rnacentral:rRNA from 1 species
UACGUAGGGCGCAAGCGUUAUCCGGAAUUAUUGGGCGUAAAGAGCUCGUAGGCGGUUUGUCGCGUCUGCCGUGAAAGUCCGGGGCUCAACUCCGGAUCUGCGGUGGGUACGGGCAGACUAGAGUGAUGUAGGGGAGACUGGAAUUCCUGGUGUAGCGGUGAAAUGCGCAGAUAUCAGGAGGAACACCGAUGGCGAAGGGCAGGUCUCUGGGCCGAUACUGACGCUGAGGAGCGAAAGCGUGGGGAGCGAACAGG